rnacentral:rRNA from 1 species
UACGAAGGGGGCUAGCGUUGUUCGGAAUUACUGGGCGUAAAGGGCGCGUAGGCGGCGUGUCAAGUCAGGCGUGAAAGCCCCGGGCUCAACCUGGGAACCGCGCUUGAAACUGUUCGGCUCGAGUCCGGGAGAGGGUAGUGGAAUUCCCAGUGUAGCGGUGAAAUGCGUAGAUAUUGGGAGGAACACCGGUGGCGAAGGCGGCUACCUGGACCGGUACUGACGCUGAGGCGCGAAAGCUAGGGUAGCAAACAGG